rnacentral:rRNA from 1 species
UAGGGAAUAUUGCACAAUGGGCGAAAGCCUGAUGCAGCAACGCCGCGUGUGCGAAGAAGGCCUUCGGGUCGUAAAGCACUUUUCUGGGAGAUGAGAAAGGACAGUAUCCCAGGAAUAAGUCUCGGCUAACUACGUGCCAGCAGCCGCGGUAAAACGUAGGAGGCGAGCGUUAUCCGGAUUCACUGGGCGUAAAGCGCGUGCAGGCGGUUUGGUAAGUUGGGCGUGAAAGCUCCCGGCUCAACUGGGAGAGGUCGUCCAAAACUACCAGACUAGAGAGCGAUAGAGGAAAAUGGAAUUCCCGGUGUAGUGGUGAAAUGCGUAGAUAUCGGGAGGAACACCAGUGGCGAAGGCGAUUUUCUGGAUCGUUUCUGACGCUCAGACGCGAAAGCUAGGGUAGCAAACGGGAUUAGAGACCCCGAUAGUCCUAGCUGUAAACGAUGUGAACUUGGCGUUGGUGGCUUAAACACCAUCAGUGCCGUAGCUAACGCGAUAAGUUCACCG